AACGAACGCUGGCGGCAGGCUUAACACAUGCAAGUCGAGCGCCCCGCAAGGGGAGCGGCAGACGGGUGAGUAACGCGUGGGAAUCUACCCAUCUCUACGGAAUAACGCAUGGAAACGUGUGCUAAUAUCGUAUACGCCCUUCGGGAGAAAGAUUUAUCGGAGAUGGAUGAGCCCGCGUUGGAUUAGCUAGUUGGUGGGGUAAAGGCCUACCAAGGCGACGAUCCAUAGCUGGUCUGAGAGGAUGAUCAGCCACACUGGGACUGAGACACGGCCCAGACUCCUACGGGAGGCAGCAGUGAGGAGGAUUGGACAAUGGGCGCAAGCCUGAUCCAGCCAUGCCGCGUGAGUGAUGAAGGCCCUAGGGUUGUAAAGCUCUUUCACCGGUGAAGAUAAUGACGGUAACCGGAGAAGAAGCCCCGGCUAACUUCGUGCCAGCCGCCGCCGUAAUAC
rnacentral:rRNA from 1 species